ensembl:lncRNA
UCAUUUCUCUCCUUUAUUUAAAUGCAACAGCAGGUUUGACACCAGUAACAGCCAUGUGCUCUGCCGGCGUCCUUGAGCAAGACAUUUCAAGACAUUGACCAGUUUCAAACUGUACGUUGCUCUGAAAUCCACUGUGAUAAGCGUUCUCCUGCAGGGCAGAGGAAGGACUGAGCAUCACAGAACAGAUUUGAUGUUCAAACUAACUGAAACCAUCUUCUAACUACACAUCAGAAAUGAACCUCAAAGACAGAUAUGAUUGCACUUAAAAAAAUCAAAGCUGGGGCAGUCGUGUUACGUUUUUGGCAUGUGUGCUGUUGCACCGCUGUCAUGCAGAGAAUUUAAACCCAGGAAGAUAAAAACAGGAAGGUAGAAACAGACCGAGGUUCAGCUGCACUUAAAAUACAGUCAUAUAAAAAAACCACAAUCAGAAAAUGUAUUUAAAAAAGCUUUAAUCAGCUGAUCUGGACUCAGCUGUUUGGAUGGAGCAGCAGACUAACUAGCUGGUUUCUAAUCUAACUCACUGACCAGCUGGAGGAGCUAACUAAAGCUAAUUCACAGAGACUCCAUUAGCUUCUGUCUUUAAAUCUGCCUCCUGGCACCAGCUCAGCUUUUUCAGGAGCACUCUUUAUUUUUAUUCUGGGAAUUUAGCAUUUAGUGUGUCAAAGUGGAGAAAAAUACCAAAAUCACCAUUUUGUCCAAACAGUUGUCAAUGUUCUCAGUUUAUCAUCAUAAAACCAGUAAAUAUGAAGUUUUCUGUUUAAAUCACUUUCAACAGAACAUUUCAGCUUCAUAUAUCACGUAAAAUGUGGCAGAAUGUGUCGUAGUUUCGUUUUUAGAGUAAAAUCACAGUGGAGGAGGCUGAAGUUGUAAAAUUUCUGUUUACGGAGGUGAAACACAAACAGACCCAAGUAGCUGACUGAGGUCUAGUUUAGUCUUUUAUGAUCUUUAGACUCGACUCUCUAGUCGUGUUUCAAUAGAUCUAUUUUAUGCACAUUUUGAAGUAUGGCAUCAGAAAAGGUUUACGGAAACGAAAUAAUUCAAACAAACUUCCCCAGAUUCACUGGAAAUGAGCUUCCUGUAAAAUGGAAACAGCUUUUCUGAAGAAGUUCUGACUGAUCAGCUGUUUGUUAUAAACAGCUGACAUGAAGGAAUAAUUACUUCAAUGUAGAUGGACGAAGCUUCGUUUUGUUCUUCCUCUUCUUUAACCCUCGUGUCGUCCUGCGGGUCAAAAUUGUUUGAAAGUUUGAAAAUGUGGAAAAAAGUAUAUUUUCACAGUGAAACUUCUGAUGUCCACAUUUUCAACAUUUUUGGGAAAUCUUUGAACAUUUUGUGGUGGAAAAAAAGAAAUUUCUUAAGAACAUUCACAUAAAA